rnacentral:rRNA from 1 species
GGGUGACGAAGCGACGCCGCGUGGGUGAGGAAGGCCUUCGGGUUGUAAAGCCCUGUCAGGAGUUAAGAAAUGUAGGUUCGGAAAUACUGGAUCUAUUUGACAAAGGCUCCAAAGGAAGCCACGGCUAACUCUGUGCCAGCAGCCGCGGUAAUACAGAGGUGGCAAGCGUUGUUCGGAAUUAUUGGGCGUAAAGAGCACGUAGGUGGAUUUGUAAGUUAGAUGUGAAAGCCUUCUGUUCAACGGAAGAAGUGCAUCUAAAACUGCAAACCUUGAGUAUAGGAGGGGAGAGUGGAACUUCUGGUGGAGCGGUGAAAUGCGUAGAUAUCAGAAGGAACGCCGGCGGCGAAAGCGGCUCUCUGGCCUAUAACUGACACUGAGUGUGCGAAAGCUAGGGGAGCAAACGGGAUUAGAUACCCCGGUAGUCCUAGCCGUAAACGAUGGGCACUAAGUAGAGG